CCUACGGGGGGCUGCAGUGGGGAAUUUUGGACAAUGGGCGCAAGCCUGAUCCAGCCAUGCCGCGUGCGGGAAGAAGGCCUUCGGGUUGUAAACCGCUUUUGUCAGGGAAGAAAAGCUCUGGGCUAAUACCUCGGGGUGAUGACGGUACCUGAAGAAUAAGCACCGGCUAACUACGUGCCAGCAGCCGCGGUAAUACGUAGGGUGCGAGCGUUAAUCGGAAUUACUGGGCGUAAAGCGUGCGCAGGCGGUUGUGCAAGACAGAUGUGAAAUCCCCGGGCUUAACCUGGGAACUGCAUUUGUGACUGCACGGCUAGAGUGUGGCAGAGGGGGAUGGAAUUCCGCGUGUAGCAGUGAAAUGCGUAGAUAUGCGGAGGAACACCGAUGGCGAAGGCAAUCCCCUGGGCCUGCACUGACGCUCAUGCACGAAAGCGUGGGGAGCAAACAGGAUUAGAUACCCAAGUAGUC
rnacentral:rRNA from 1 species